rnacentral:tRNA from 1 species
AGUCCGAGUGCUGGAAUUGGUAGACAGGGUAAACUUAAAUUUUACUGAUUAAAAUCAUGAACGUUCGAUUCGUUUUUCGGAU